GGGUGGCAGCCCUGCCCACAGAAGGACGUUGGAACUGGAUGAUCUUUAAGGUCCCUUCCAACUCAAAUCAUUCUAUGAUUCUCUGAAACACAGAGAAUAACUACAGGAAUGAGAACAGAGAAAGAAUGGAGAAACCUUUCUAGGGGAGAUUAAAACUUCAGGAUCUGUUUAAACUAGUAAGCAAAACAAACAAAAUAAAAGCCACCACUAUAACCCACAUAAUGUUACUGCUUCAGGAUCCAGGCAAACAGCAGUGAAGCAGAAGAGCUGUUUUAAAACAGGAAUAGAAUAAAUAGAGAUAAGUUUGAAAUGAAAAUAGUCUAAAUAUUCUAAUAUUCGAAGGAAUGACUUUGUGGACAGUAUUCCAACAGUAGAAUGACAGCAACCAUUUUGAAUAAUGUUGUUCAUUAAACUUUGAGCAAUUUCUUGCUGAGUCUCUGAGAUAUUGUGGAUCCUAUCUGGAUCAGUGGCUAAGAAUCUCUCCCAGCACUGUGACAUUACAUAAUUACUCUAUUAAAAGGGAUUGGAAUACUACAGCUAGAAUUAUAAAUUUUUUUUUUCUUUUUUUUGGAAGCUGCUGGAAAAGUACUUGAAAACUGAUUUUUUUUUUUGGUCUGUGAGAUCCACCACACUGUUUUCUGGGGACUCCUGAUGCAGGGACUCAGGUACCCAGUUCUCUGGUCUUAAUGCCUUCUCAGAGAGGGCUCUCUUUUUUUUUUUUUUUUUUUUAAAGUAAUGCAUUUCCAUGGAAACAACAGUAUCUGAGGGAAUUCAAUUAGUCAAAAAUCAAUUUUACAACAACUAUAGAGUUUUGAUGAAAAUGUUUUUUACAUAGUAGUAAUUAACAAUGCAGUAACAUGAAUAAUUCUUGCACACUAUGGCUAGUUAUGAGAAAAACACAGAUUUUAGAGUCCUUCUAUCUAGCUACGAGAAAAACACAGUCUUUGGUAAAGGCUAAAAUUUCCUAUGGCUUUGAUAAUUUGUUUUCUUAGAACUGAGCAAACAUCACACUGAUAUCAGGAACUUCAUCAAAGCUUGCUCUUGCUGUCGCUGGCUUCAGUGGGAGCUAGACUGGACCCCAGGUGAUCCUGUAAGAUCAGUGUUAGCUAGUUUAAAUUAAUUAACUAUCUUCUCCCCUCCAGCAGUAGAUACUAUUAGCAAACUCAUUUCAUUUUCUGAAUUGAAAUUACAGUAAUGGUAAAGCAUUUAACUUUGCCUCUUUUAUAUGACACUAUUUCUGACGUCUAAUAGGAAUACUCUUUUGGCAUUUGCUAUCCUUCCUUUAUUGCAAGUCUGCCUGCCUUUCAUUACAUUUUCAUUAUUCUUAUGAUGACUAUAUUUCAUAUUUAUCACAGUGGUUAAAAUGAUAUCAGUCACAAUCAGCAAUCAUAUACAUUACUGAAAUGUUUAUUGAUCUGUAAGCAACAGGAACAGUAAAUUUAAAAAAUGUUGUUUCCCAAAGGACACGAAUUAAUUCAGGCAUUUCGGAAAUAGGCAAAAUACUGUUACUGUGAUAAGGAUGAUAAUUUAUCAUGCAAUAAAUCUUUUGCUUAACUGGUGAAUAUCGAUUAUGUGCAAUAGCUAUGACUGCAACUGCAAGCAGUAGAACAGUAGAAAAAAAUUGUCUUUUUUAAAGAUCUGUUUUCAUUUUUGUUUGAAAACAGCACUGUUAAAUGACAAUAUUCUUACUGCUGAUGAGUUCCAAUAAUAAAAUGUAAAGUGUAUAAACAGCUUGAUUUACUAGAAGACAAAAGCUCUUACACAUAUUUCCAUUCAAAUUGUUAGUUCUCAGAGUUUAAUGUUAAACCUCUGUGUUUGAAACUAAAGGAAGAACAUCUGGCAGAGAUGAAAUAUAGCUUUAAACCCAUUCUAAAAUGUGUUGACAAAUCAUCAUUGCCAAAACAAAUAGACUUGGUUUCACUUCUUAUCUGCACUGAGAAAUCGUUUCCAGCUCCAGCUGAAAAAGUAUUAGAAAAUAGUCAAUGUCAAUUCUUCUUGGCUAAUGUUACACUAAGAGUCACGCAAUUAUCCUACUGCCUUGCUUUCUUAGGAAAUCCUAAUUAUCCAAGGUCCCUAGAGAACACAUAACCAGCCUAUUAAGGCAUUUUUUAGUUUUCUGUAAACCCUAUCCCAUUAAACAACUGUUAUUUUAACCAGAGAGCUAUUUGGGUGCUCUCGGUUUGUGUGUAUUUGUGAGGAAGGAGGAGGCUAAAGCUGUGACUGACCUAACGUGACUUUGAGCCUCUCUGUAAGCUGGUUUUUCUCAUUUCAAUAUCUGGACUUUUCUUUCUCAAUAGAGAUUCCUGAAGAAAGCUAAGAUAUGAGCUUCCUUGCCACUGGCUGCCUGCAAGGUGGUGGCACUGGGGUGCUCAGUCUGUAGUUCUAAAGAAAGUGGGUAUAAAAACCUUUUUUCCAACCUGAAUUAUUCAAGGAGAAGAACAAGUAGUCCGCUCUAUCAGUGGAGACACAGCUGAGGGGAAGGCAGGGCAGAGAGAAAAUGGACAGUAUUCUGAAGGAGUACAUAGACUAGAGGGAUGUCUUCUGUUAAUACUGCAUCUAUAUAAAAUGGCUGGAAUGAUAACAUACAGGUCAGGUGUCAUCUGCUGAUUUUCACUGCUUAAUGAGGACAUGCUCUCCCAGUUUUUCAUAAGCCACUCAAUAUUUUAAACCAAUCAAAGGGAUAAAGUGAGAGAAUUGAUGUUGGAUACAGAUUUACCUGUGAUGUAAGGCUGCACUAUUGCACUGCACUUUCUGCUUUUUGUUGUUUAAAUGGAAGCAUGCAUUGAUGUGCCACUGGAGUACUGUGCACUUUUAUUCACUGCCUGACAGGUGAAAUGAGGUUUUCAUGUUGUUAUCAUUCCUUGUUUUGGCAAAAAUGUCAGCCUUGGGAGAAAGAGUAGAGCCCGUGGAAGCUAUUUGGGACUCCCUUAUCACAUCGUUCAAUAUCACCAGCUUCACAUUUUUUUGGCUUUUUGAGGUAAGAACACAACAGACUCAUUCGGGACCUUUUCUGGGUCUUCAGUCUUUUAGCUCAGUGUUGUUAACCAUUUUUCAGACACAUUAAAAUUUAAAAAGUUCUGAAAAUAAUGUAAAGCAAGAUGUAGAUUUCCAAUUGUCACGUCCUGUAUUUAGAAAAUUGGUCAUCAAACAAGUUAAUAUCAGCUUUAACACUUCAGCUCAUGUACUCUACAUUUAUGACAUAAAAAAUUCUUACUAGAAGCCUUUUCUCAUGCAUUGGGUUUAGCCUGCAUAACAAACGUUUUCCUUUUGCUCCUGGAUGAGAUGUAUCUCUGAUAAAAAUCACAUGCCCUUACAUUUCUGAGUUGCCCUGAUUCUUAGACGUGAAUUCAACUCCUAACCCUUGUCUUCUUAUUUUCUCUUUUUCUGUUAACUGCUGAGUAUGGCCUUGGUCAAACUGGAUGCUUGAGAGAGUCUUCUCAUGCUGUCAAGAGAAGCAAAUACUACAGGCAAGAAAUAGCAGCAAGGGAGCAGAAGAGAGCAAACUGUCCCUUUGAUGCGGUAAAUGAUGACAGAGAAGAAAUCAGAGAGUGGUUAUAGAUGUGAACAUGGGCCAUAAAAGGCUUCAGCCACUGCCAGAAGCUUACUUCAGGUGGAGGAGAGAACUUGCUGCAAAUCGCCCAAAUCAGCUUUUGGAGGAGGGACUGGGGGACCUGCCUGCAACUGGGAAUCCUUGUGCACCUUCAGAUCUAUGAAGGCUCUUCCCCUGGAGAUGUAUAGGACACCAUCUGUUCAAACCAACUGCCAAAUAUUUUUGUGUGUACGUGUGUGUGUAUAAGCCUAUGUAUAAAGAAAAAAUAUACUAGUAAGAAAGCCUGAGACUUUUCUGUGGUUGUGAUAUCACCUGCGUUGUUACACUACACUGUUUUAUAUAUUCCUGUACCUGAAGCAGAGAUAAGACAUUACUCUUCCUUUUUCAGCUGAGAUAGUAUGAGGGCUGCUCCAAAAGUAAUGCCUCCUAUGUUAUUAUGUUGGCUCACAGCAUCAGAGGUGGAUACUGGUGGUAUGGUAAAAGAGGUUGAACCUCCCAACCAAUACUCCAUUGCCGUGUGACAGGUGGCAGCGGUGGGGCAGUCUGACAGAAUGGUGUCUGAAAUGGAAGAGUGAAGCAAAGGUGUGGAACUGCAUUCCUCCGCGUGAAAAGAAUGGCACCCACUGACAUUAAUUGACACUUGCUGAAUGUUUACAAAGACCAAACAAUGGAUGUGUGUGAUGCAUUUCAGCAGUGGUGACAGUGACUUGAAAGACAAGCCACAUUCUAGCCAGUUACACACAGCUGUCACACUACAAAAUAAAGAGGGUCUUGAUCAGCUCAUCUGGAUGAAUUAGCAGGUUAUGACAGGAAACUGUGUACAGAGUUGAAUAUCAGCUUAAAUGUAAAAGCACUGCAAACAAUGGUGGCAACACCGGAAUGUUGCGGUUUGUGCCAGGUAGGUCCCAUGAUUUCUCACACAGGAACAGAAAGAAAACCAUGUGUAAGUCUGUUGGUAUAUUGAACAAAAAUGAGGCUGAAGGUGAUGGUUUCCUUGACUGCAUCAUUACCAGUCACAAGAUGUGGUGUCUCCACUUUGAGCCGGAGUCAAAACAGCAGUCCAUGGAGUGGCAACAUGUGAAUUCCCCACUGAAGAAAAAGUUCAAGAUGCAGCUUUCAACGGGUAAAGCGAUGUGCACAGUCUUUUGGGACAGGAAAUGGGUGAUCCUGGAUUCCUUGGAACCCAGACAAACCAUUAACUCUGAUGGUUACAUUAUGAUGCUGACUAAGAUGAAGGCUUGAACUUCCAGAGUCAGGCCAGAGAAGAAGACAACCUUUCUUUUGGCUGGACUGUCCUACCACACCCACUGUAUAGUUUGGAUUUGGCUUCUUCUGAUUUCCAUCUGUUUGGGCCAAUGAAAGAUGGACUGCAUGGGCAACAAUGCCAUCGUAGCAACUGUGAAACAGUGGGUCAUCAUCACCGGUGCUGAUUUUCACGAGCAUUAUUGACUGACCUACUUAUUUUGAAUGUCAGCUAGCUUUAUUUUCCUCUCUAUAAAUAUGCAGAGAUUUUUUUUAGUAUUAUUAGAGGAAGCACUUAAUUCUACUGGAGGGUGCUUUAAUAUUAUCAUUACAAGGAGAUUUUGUGGAGAUGUGAUUGCUUUGAGUAUCUUGACAGCUCAGAUCUUCAGAUGGCUGUGGUAAGCUGGUUUUCCUUUUUGAUGUACACCAUUACAGUUAGUCAUGCCACUGCUAACUUCAGGUUAAUCUGCUGUAACAUGGCCUGUACUAGACUUUUCUGUACAGGUAGACAGUUCAGAGUCUUUUGCUGAUGUACAGCACAAUGUACUGCUUGUUAAAUUGAUACAAGUGGAUGACCUCUGUGCUUCAAUUUCUUUAACAGCUUCCUGUUCCUUCAGAGACAUCAUUAAAAGCAGGGAUGACUUUCUGUAAAGGCCUAAAUAUGACAGCACUGGCCUCAUUUUCAGGCACACUACUCAGUGAGUAAAUUCUAUUUGUCUUCAGCAUUAGAGAGCAUUUUACAGGAGAUCAUUGAUGCAGAGUCCUAUAAUAAACUAAUUAUAUUAAUGUUGGAGAUGCUAGAGUAUAAGUGAUGAUACAAAAAUAAAUUUGUCAUGACAGAGAGAUAUUUUCAAGUGUGUUUCAUAUUAUUCAAUAAAUCUACCACUCUUGAGGUUUGUGGGAGUUUUACAAUGGAUGCAAUUUGAAGAAUUUCAAUAUUGCUGAAUGACUUGAAAAAAAAAAAAAACACUCCAGAAAUGAAACUAUUUAAAUGUAGAGAUUUUUGGCUUAAUGCUGAAAAGCAGUUUCAGCUAUGUCUCCUAAACAAAACAUGUCUUCCUGAAGAAGAUAACAGGUCUCAAACCGCACAUCCAAGUUGGUGAGCUUGUACAAUCAGCUUGUCAUGCAAAUGACAAUAUGUAUGGAUAAAAUAUGUCAAAGCUAAUCAUAUUCCAGUUAGCAUACUCAUUUACUUCUCAUCAUCUAUGGUAUUUGUUUUCUUGUUGGAUUUCAUUUUAGUCGUGAAAUUACGUUCUACAAUUUUCUCAUGUACAAUGCUUUUUUGCUUAUUUGAAGAGUGGAAAAGUAAGUGUAAAUAUAAACUUUUUGUUAUGAUUUCUUUAAAAUAUUAGUCCUACUUGGCACUUACAUAGAAUUCUACAUAAACAAACUAUUGAAUUUUUAUACUGUCCUCAUUAAAAAAAGCAAUUACAUAUUGCUACCCUAAUUUUACAAAUGAAAAGCUGAGUUAGAGAGGUUAAAUUGUGUCCCCAAGGCAUCAGAAAAAUUUGAAUUGGCAGGACUAUUUUGGGAUCCAACCAGACUAUAACUGCUGUUUCUCUUUUACGAAACUAAUGUCUCUUAAGAAAAGAAACUGAACAUUUCUUUGUAUUUCAAUAUUUCAAUAAACAGUUUUUACAGGAAAAUCUGCAAAGACAUAUUCCAGUAAGCCAGAAGAUACAAUAGAUGCAGGUAUGUGUAUUCCCAUCUUCUAUCUCACUACCUAGAGGAUAAAUCCAAUCAGGACUUAGGACUAGGUUUAGGGAGAGAAAGUUAUCCUUUCUGAAAACAUUUUCUUGAAAUCUAUAAGCUUUGUGAUUAGACAAAUGAAUUCCAGCAACAUCACUAUUGAGAAGCAACAAAAGAAUGUGGUGUCAUGCACAAUUUCAUGGUUAUUCGAGGCACUGAAUGUGCACAGUUUGGUGUUGUAUGUGACUACAAUUUUAACAUAUAGGGUGGUUAUACAUACUUUACCAAGCCAAACCAGAAGCUAGCUCGGUAUAUGUUACUAGAGCCCAGGCAGUGCUGUACAAAUCAUGGCUAGAGAUAGUGCUUUUAACUCACUCAGAAUCUGGACAAAACAAGCAUGUGUUGGCAUGGCAAAGCAACACAGAAAUACUCCCCGAAGAUUCCCAAAUACACCCCAAAUAAGUUUGGUUUUGUUCAACAGCCUGUAUUAUAAGUUUGCAACCAGUGUGAGUACCAUGAUGAGUACCAUCACACUGGUUUGUUUAUUCUCAAAUCUGCCAGUGCUUUGGUAUAGCUCUUGCUUCUCUAAGCUCUGAAAAAAGCUUGUAGUAAACAAUUCUCCCUGGAGUGAGAACAGUUGAACUCAAACUGGGGACCAGAUUCUUCUCUGCUGUGUUCCAUUGUGGAGUAAGUAGAGCAGGACAAAGCAGAUGUGCAGACCAAGCUGAAGCUGUGGUCUUGCAAGUAGUGUGCAGGAAUGUUUUCUUACUUUUACUAUAUUACUCAGAGGAAGUGUCUCACUAGACACCGUGAGAAGGUCAAUUACCUCUUUUGUCUCUAUGCUAAAUCCCUUUUUGGCCUAAAUAUAUUGUCAUGUUGUUUUGACAUUUAUCCGUAAAGAGAGUGAUGAAGGCACAACAAUAGAAAAUGAAGAUCCAGGGUUUCAAUUCAAGACUUUUCUUUGACUGUUGGAGCUCAGGUCAAAUGCACAGACUUUUACUGCCAGGCACAUCCCAUCUGACCUCUAGAUUCCUCAUCCAGAAGAGUGGUGGUCUCCCACAGACAUGCUGUUGUUUUAAGUUAGUCCAUCAAUAUCUCUCAUGAAGUGCAGAGCACUUCAGUUGGCAAUAGACACUUGACACUUUGUGGUCAAUGAAGUUAAAUCCAGUUGGUGGCCAGUCAUGAGUGGUGUCCCCCAGGGCUCGGUACUGGGGCCACUCCUAUUUAACAUCUUCAUCAAUGAUCUUGAUGAGGGGAUUCAGUGCACCCUCAGUAAGUUUGCAGACAACACCAAGUUGGGAGGGAGUGUUGAUCUGCCAGAGGGUAGAAAGGCUUUUCAGAAGGACCUGGGUAGACUGGAAUGAUAGGCCAAAGUAAACCGUAUGAGUUUCAAUAGGGCCAAGUAUCGGGUCCUGCAUUUUGGUCACAACAACCCCAGUGUCAACG